rnacentral:tRNA from 2 species
GGCUCGGUAGCUUGGUUGGUAAAGCGUUCGUCUAGCAUACAAGAGUCCUGGGUUCAAAUCCCAGCCGAGCAC